UACAGAGGGUGCGAGCGUUGUCCGGAAUCACUGGGCGUAAAGGGCGCGUAGGUGGUGGCUUAAGCGUGCGGUGAAAGCUCGGGGCUCAACCCCGAGUCGGCCGUGCGAACUGGGCUCACUGGAGCAUAGUAGAGGCAGGUGGAAUUCCGGGUGUAGCGGUGGAAUGCGUAGAGAUCCGGAAGAACACCGGUGGCGAAGGCGGCCGUGCUGGGCUA
rnacentral:rRNA from 1 species